AAUUAUGGUCAUGCCAAUCUGAACACACUGAAUCUCGUCUGAUCUUGUAAGCUAAGCAGAGUUGGGCCUGGUUAGUAUUUGGAUAGGAGAUCACCUAGGAAUACCAGGUGCUGUAGGCU
ensembl:rRNA 5S_rRNA 5S ribosomal RNA